AGAGUUUGAUCCUGGCUCAGAUUGAACGCUGGCGGCAUGCCUUACACAUGCAAGUCGAACGGCAGCACGGGAGCAAUCCUGGUGGCGAGUGGCGAACGGGUGAGUAAUGUAUCGGAACGUACCUUUCAGUGGGGGAUAACGUAGCGAAAGUUACGCUAAUACCGCAUAUUCUGUGAGCAGGAAAGCAGGGGAUCGCAAGACCUUGCGCUGAUUGAGCGGCCGAUAUCAGAUUAGCUAGUUGGUGAGGUAAAGGCUCACCAAGGCGACGAUCUGUAGCGGGUCUGAGAGGAUGAUCCGCCACACUGGAACUGAGACACGGUCCAGACUCCUACGGGAGGCAGCAGUGGGGAAUUUUGGACAAUGGGGGCAACCCUGAUCCAGCCAUGCCGCGUGAGUGAAGAAGG
rnacentral:rRNA from 1 species